CCUUACCAUGCCCAGUCGAACGGAUAGUUAGCAAUACUAUUAGUUGGCAAACGGGUGAGUAAUACGUAGGAAUCUACCCUGUAGUACGGAACAACAGUUGGAAACGACUGCUAGUACCGCAUACGCUCCUUCGGGAGGAAAGAUUUAUCGCUAUAGGAUGAGCCUGCGCUAAAUUAGAUAGUUGGUGGGGUAAUGGCCUACCAAGUCAAUGAUUUAUAGCUGGUCUGAGAGGACGACCAGCCACACUGGAACUUAGACACGGUCCAGACUCCUACGGGAGGCAGCAGUGAGGAAUAUUGGACAAUGGGCGCAAGCCUGAUCCAGCAAUGUCGCGUGAAUGAUGAAGGCCUUCGGGUUGUAAAGUUCUUUCGGUGGGGAAGAAAAUGACGGUACCCACAGAAGAAGCUCCGGCUAACUUCGUGCCAGCAGCCGCGGUAAUACGGGGGGAGCUAGCGUUUUUCGGAAUUAUUGGGCGUAAAGGGCGUGUAGGCGGUUAAUAAAGUUGAAAGUGAAAUCCCCGGGCUUAACCUGGGAACUGCUUUCAAAACUCAUUAACUAGAGAACGAUAGAGGAUAGUAGAAUUCCUAGUGUAGAGGUGAAAUUCUUAGAUAUUAGGAGGAAUACCGGUGGCGAAGGCGGCUAUCUGGAUCGUUUCUGACGCUGAGGCGCGAAAGCGUGGGGAGCAAACAGGAUUAGAUACCCUGGUAGUCCACGCUGUAAACGAUGAGUGUUAGGUGUUGGGGUCGUAAGAUCUCAGUGCCGCAGCUAACGCGUUAAACACUCCGCCUGGGAAGUAAGAUCGCAAGAUUAAAACUCAAAGGAAUUGACGGGGACCUGCACAAGUGGUGGAACAUGCGUUUAAUUCGAUGUCACGCGAAAAACCUUACCAACUCUUGACAUGGUGGUCGCGGGAUGCAGAAAUGCAUUCUUUCAGUUCGGCUGGACCACACACAGUGUUGCAUGGCCGUCGUCAGCUCGUGUUUGAGAUGU
rnacentral:rRNA from 1 species